CAGGCUCCCUGGCCCCGCGGGUGGAGGGAGGUGGCCAGGCUGGCACCCGGAUGUUCGUGCUCCUUGGCUCUCAUCCCCACUGGGUGACUCUGCUCAAGUCCCUUCCCUCUCUGGGCCCCAGCAUUCUCUGUCUUUGCCAAAUCCCUGAAGUGCUUUCCUGUGAUUCUGAGCAGGAAAGCUGAGGUCCAGAGAGAGCUUUCCUGGCUCACACAGAACGUCUGUGGCUGAGCCAAGACUGGAACUAGCAUUCCUGCUUCUCACUCACACCGCUCUCAUCCCACUGCUUUUCUAGGUGUUGGGCACUGCCAGCCUCUUCCUUGAUGCUCCUGCUAACAGAACCUCAUCACUUGCGGGAAAAAAAGGGGCGUGUCAAGUUUGCAGGGAAGCUGGGCCCAGCCCCAGGGAUGAAACAUCUCGAGACUCUGCGUAGUCACGCCCAGGUCCUUGCUCUGUUUGAAGACAGAAGGACAGCCCAAAGCCCCGGGUUCCUUUCAUCACUUUUUUCCUCCCUUGACUUAAAGAUCUUUAUGCGGGAUGUUUAAUGCUCACACGGUGUGGAUCCUAGAACAUGCUUACAAAUGAGGAAGCCUGGGACUCAAGGAAGUUCUGUAGAUUGGUGAUUCAGAGCUUGGUCCUGUUCCCUGAAGCUGACAAAUCCUGUUCUCCCUGCAAAUCGGCCUCCCUCAUGUCCAGACCCCAACCCAUUCCUUUAUUCCUGUUUUUCUCCUUGUGUGAUUCUUGCACAUAGUAGGUUCUUGAGAGAGAGAGCAUGUGAUAUUCAUUGUCUGCUGUCUUACAUCACCAGCCAUUUACCAACCAGGGCAAGCAGAGCACCCCCUGUGUUUAGAGGGGUGCACCUGUGUGUGUCUGUUGGGGGGUGGGUGUUUAGUUGGAGAAAAUGGGCCUUGUCCACAGUAAAAAGAACAACUCCCAUUAAUCGAAGGAGUACCUAAGGUACCAGGUCUUGUGCUUUACAUAUUUUUGUUUAAGGUCUACAGUAGCUCUAGGGAAUUUUUUCAGGAAUCUCAAGCCUCUGGGACAUCAAGUGGUUUGCCCAGUCACCCAGAGCAGAUGGGAACCAGGUCUGUGUGUCUGGAACUUGUGUCUCAGCCCAGAGCAGAGAAGGUCAGCAUGUCCGGAGCCAGAGGGAGGUUCCCUCCUCUGUAGGGAGGCUUCACUGGACAGGAAGCACCUGAACUGAGUCUGGAAGGAUGGGCUAGACUCCCAGAGCAGGAGAGGGCUUGGGCAAACUCGUGGAGAUGACACAGUGUCUGUUUCAUUGGGAAAUUGGGGAUUAUUAUGGAAAAAACCAGGCCACAUGGCCCCUGUGUACCUCUUGUGAUAGAAGGUAUUGAUUAUGGGAGGGGAGUUUGGGGCAGAAUGCAUAUAUGUGUAUGUAUGGCUGAGUCCCUUUGCUGUUUAAUUGAGACAAUCACAUUUUAAAUUGGCUAUACCCCAAUACAAAAUAAAAAGUUAAAAAAAGAUGCAAUGGAGACGCAGACAUAGAGAACAGACUUACGGACACAGCGGGGGUUGCUUAGGAAGGAAAAAGUGAAAGUCGCUCAGUCGUGUCUGACUCUUUGCGACCCCGUGGACUAUACAGUCCGUGGAAUUCUCCAGGCC
ensembl:lncRNA